rnacentral:rRNA from 1 species
UACGGGGGGGGCAAGCGUUGUUCGGAAUUACUGGGCGUAAAGGGCUCGUAGGUGGCCAACUAAGUCAGACGUGAAAUCCCUCGGCUUAACCGGGGAACUGCGUCUGAUACUGGAUGGCUGGAGAUUGGGAGAGGGAUGCGGAAUUCCAGGUGUAGCGGUGAAAUGCGUAGAUAUUGGGAGGAACACCAGUGGCGAAGGCGACUAUCUGGGCAAAUACUGACACUGAGGCACGAAAGCAUGGGGAGCAAACAGG